AUUGAACGCUGGCGGCAGGCCUAACACAUGCAAGUCGAACGAGCGGCGGACGGGUGAGUAAUGUCUGGGGAACUGCCUGAUGGAGGGGGAUAACUACUGGAAACGGUAGCUAAUACCGCAUACCAUCAGAUGUACCCAUAUGGGAUUAGCUAGUAGGUGGGGUAACGGCUUACCUAGGCGACGAUCCCUAGCUGGUCUGAGAGGAUGAUCAGCCACACUGGAACUGAGACACGGUCCAGACUCCUACGGGAGGCAGCAGUGGGGAAUAUUGCACAAUGGGCGCAAGCCUGAUGCAGCCAUGCCGCGUGUAUGAAGAAGGCCUUCGGGUUGUAAAGUACUUUCAGCGGGGAGGCGUUACCCGCAGAAGAAGCACCGGCUAACUCCGUGCCAGCCGCCGCGGUAAUAC
rnacentral:rRNA from 1 species